AAUGAACGCUGGCGGCAUGCCUUACACAUGCAAGUCGAACGGCAGCAUGACCUAGCUUGCUAGGUUGAUGGCGAGUGGCGAACGGGUGAGUAAUGCAUCGGAACGUGCCUUUUAGUGGGGGAUAACGUAGCGAAAGUUACGCUAAUACCGCAUAUUCUCUGAGGAGGAAAGCAGGGGGCCUUCGGGCCUUGCGCUAGAAGAGCGGCCGAUGUCGGAUUAGCUAGUUGGUGAGGUAAAGGCUCACCAAGGCAACGAUCCGUAGCGGGUCUGAGAGGAUGAUCCCCCACACUGGGAGUGAGGAACGGCCCAGACUCCUACGGGGAGCCACAGUGGGGAAUUUUAGGCAAUGGGGGCAAGGCUGAUCCAGCCAUGCCGCGGGAGGGAAGAAGGACUUCGGGUUGGUAAGCUCUUUCGGCCGGGGAGAAAUAGAACUCUCUUAAACAGGGUGUGGAUGACGGUACCAGGAUAAGAAGCACCGGCUAACUACGUG
rnacentral:rRNA from 1 species